rnacentral:rRNA from 1 species
UACGAGGGGGGCAAGCGUUGUUCGGAAUUACUGGGCGUAAAGGGCUCGUAGGCGGCCAACUAAGUCAGACGUGAAAUCCCCAGGCUUAACCUGGGAACUGCGUCUGAUACUGGAUGGCUUGAAUUCGGGAGAGGGAUGCAGAAUUCCAGGUGUAGCGGUGAAAUGCGUAGAUAUCUGGAGGAAUACCGGUGGCGAAGGCGGCAUCCUGGACCGAGAUUGACGCUGAUGAGCGAAAAGCUAGGGGAGCAAACGGGG